rnacentral:rRNA from 1 species
UACGGAGGGUGCAAGCGUUAUCCGGAUUUACUGGGUUUAAAGGGUGCGUAGGUGGGCAGGUAAGUCAGUGGUGAAAUCUCCGGGCUUAACCCGGAAACUGCCAUUGAUACUAUCUGUCUUGAAUAUCCUGGAGGUGAGCGGAAUAUGUCAUGUAGCGGUGAAAUGCUUAGAUAUGACAUAGAACACCAAUUGCGAAGGCAGCUCACUACGGGAUUAUUGACACUGAGGCACGAAAGCGUGGGGAUCAAACAGGAUUAGAUACCCUGGUAGUCCACGCCCUAAACGAUGGAUACUCGACAUACGCGAUACACUGUGUGUGUCUGAGCGAAAGCAUUAAGUAUCCCACCUGGGAAGUACGAUCGCAAGAUUGAA